rnacentral:rRNA from 1 species
GAGUUUGAUCCUGGCUCAGGACGAACGCUGGCGGCGUGCUUAACACAUGCAAGUCGAACGGAGAAUUUUAUUUCGGUAGAAUUCUUAGUGGCGAACGGGUGAGUAACGCGUAGACAACCUGCCUCUUAGAUGGGGACAACAUCGCGAAAGCGGUGCUAAUACCGAAUGAAGUGGAGCUUCCGCAUGGAAGCAUCACCAAAGGUGGCCUCUAUUUAUAAGCUACCACUGAGAGAUGGGUCUGCGUCUGAUUAGCUAGUUGGCGGGGUAAUGGCCCACCAAGGCGACGAUCAGUAGCCGGUCUGAGAGGAUGAACGGCCACAUUGGGACUGAGACACGGCCCAAACUCCUACGGGAGGCAGCAGUGGGGAAUCUUCCGCAAUGGACGAAAGUCUGACGGAGCAACGCCGCGUGAGUGAAGAAGGUUUUCGGAUCGUAAAGCUCUGUUGUUUGAGACGAAUGUGCAGACUUUGAAUAAGGGUUUGUAAUGACGGUAUUAAACGAGAAAGCCACGGCUAACUACGUGCCAGCAGCCGCGGUAAUACGUAGGUGGCAAGCGUUGUCCGGAAUUAUUGGGCGUAAAGGGAGCGCAGGUGGGAAUGUAAGUCAGUCUUAAAAGUGCGGGGCUCAACCCCGUGAGGGGAUUGAAACUACAUUUCUUGAGUGCAGGAGAGGAAAGUGGAAUUCCUAGUGUAGCGGUGAAAUGUAGAGAUUAGGAGGAACACCAGUGGCGAAACUUUCUGGACUGUAACUGACACUGAGGUCGAAAGCCAGGGGGCGAACGGGAUUAGAUACCCUAGUCCGCACAGUAAACGAUGUUCACUAGGGCGGGGGGUCGACCCUCGGUACCGA